CACUGGGACUGAGACACGGCCCAGACUGCUACGGGAGGCAGCAGUGGGGAAUCUUAGACAAUGGGCGCAAGCCUGAUCUAGCCAUGCCGCGUGAGUGAUGAAGGCCUUAGGGUCGUAAAGCUCUUUCGCCAGGGAUGAUAAUGACAGUACCUGGUAAAGAAACCCCGGCUAACUCCGUGCCAGCAGCCGCGGUAAUACGGAGGGGGUUAGCGUUGUUCGGAAUUACUGGGCGUAAAGCGCACGUAGGCGGAUCAGAAAGU
rnacentral:rRNA from 1 species